ensembl:lincRNA
CACUGGGUAAUGCUCUACUAGUCCUUUCUAGCUCCUCUAACAAUCGUGAUUGUUUUUGUACUUCUCUGUUUAAUUUCUCUCUUCCUGAUCAGAUGGUAAAGUCUCUGAGGGUGGCAAGGGUCAAUGCCUGUCCGGCUCACCAUGACAAGUGCUUCCCUGGUGUGAAGAAGUUAUGCUGGAGAGAGUGACUGGAUGAACAGAAUGAACAGAUGACCCCACCAAGAGCCUAGUCUGCAUCUGUCUGGUGCCCACGUCCUCUCCUCCAAGUCAGAAACAAAUGACAGGCAUUCUGCCUGCGGAUGAGCUGCCCGCCUGCUGGUCAGCCUUUCAGGCUCUGUGCCUGCUGGUUGAGGCCAGAUAGGGGGCGGGGGCCAGGUCUGAGCAGCAACCACAGCAUCAGCAUCUCCAGGAAAGCCUUGAACUCACGGUAACUAAGUGUGUCCACCUCCAAUCCUCCUAUCUCCAUGGAUGACCAGGUCAACUGUGUCAAUUUGUAGAUGCAGACACUAGCAAUAACUAGUAGCAAUCUAGCAGCAAUAACUUGUUCUUAAAUGCUGGGGAGAUAGAAUUCAGGGGGGCCCUGUGAUUCCAGCCAUACCAUAACCCUGUGCAGAAGAGACUCUCUGGGCGCCCUGGGGCCAGGGAGGCACUUGGAUGUCAGACCCAGCAACAUUCUCUAGCCUCAUUUCUCAUUUUUCUCCUCCCCGCCAUCCUCAGAAACCCAGUAGAACUCUCCAUCCCCUCCAACCACAAUGACGCCUUGUCGCUUCCUGGGAUGUGCCGAGCGGCCUCUUUCUCUGAGCCUCUCUGCGUCUUGUCUGGUGGCUGGUAACACUCCCUCAUAUCCACGCUUCUCCAUUCUUCAGGCCUCAGCUCCCACCGGGACUGCCACAGGGAGAUGCCUCUGUUUCACGUUCCUGUUUCUGCCGCUGGGAUCAACACUGGCUGCUGAAUGUCUUGGAGGUGCAUCCGCAUGAGGCACGACUCGGUGCAGUUCCCCCUCGCAGCUCUUUGCUCACCUUGUCGUCCUUGGGAACGCUCCUGGGCCCCACAGCUGCCUGGCACUAGUGGAGAUGCUCCUUGAGAACACUGCUUAUGGCAGUAAUAGCACAAGUUCUUCCAGGUGGAGGGGGAGAAAAGCGAGGGCCAGUGGAGGAAUGAGCACUCACACCCAGGACCCCACCUCCACACGUGGCCCCCGAACCCUGACAUUGUAAGCGGGAAGAGCGGGUGGUCCUUGGGGGGUGGGGGGAGCAGUUUUGAGGGUACACGAUGCUCUCCUCUCUCUGCUCCUUGUCACCUCCCAGCAUUGUGGACGAUGAGGUGGUGACCAGUGAGAGCUCAUCACAUCCUCAUUUUGUCCCAGUGCACACCCUUCAAGACCUCUCACUUCAGAGGCAGCGGCUGUUUUGAAUGCCAACAGUAAACGCUUGCUGUUUGACUUGCUGGGUGAACCCCAUGGGGGUUUAGAUCUUUUUUUCACCAAGCUUUGGGUUUAGAUCUUUUUAAAGCCAGCACUCCACAAAGCAGAAGUGGACAAGUGAACUCCCU